AAUAUUGGACAAUGGGGGCAACCCUGAUCCAGCCAUGCCGCGUGUGUGAAGAAGGUCUUCGGAUUGUAAAGCACUUUAAGUUGGGAGGAAGGGCUUUAGGUUAAUACCCUGAAGUUUUGACGUUACCAUCAGAUUAAGCACCGGCUACCUCUGUGCCAGCAUCCGCGGUAAUACAGAGGGGUCAAGCGUUAAUCGGAAUUACUGGGCGUAAUGAGCGCGUAGGUGGUUCAGUAAGAUGGGUGUGAAAUCCCCGGGCUUAACCUGGGAACUGCGUGCAUAACGGCUGAGCUAGAGUAAGGUAGAGGGUAGUGGAAUUUCCUGUGUAGCGGUGAAAUGCGUAGAUAUAGGAAGGAACACCAGUGGCGAAGGCGACUACCUGGACUGAUACUGACACUGAGGUGCGAAAGCGUGGGGAGCAAAC
rnacentral:rRNA from 1 species